GCUGAGUGACAAAAUCUGGCGUCAACCCGAGUUCUUGUGAAGUCAAGUGGACGAGGUCUCGGAGGGGCUCCCAACACAUGCCAGAGUGCGUAGACCGAACAGCUGUGGUGGAACAUUCCUAGCAAUUGUAAGUUGCAUUGACAUUAACAAGAGCUCUGCAAGCAGAGGCGUCAGCUGCACCAUCCUCACCCUGUGGAGCACUUAUGAGACACACCAUAGAUAUGAGGGAAGUACAGCUAAGAGCAAGCAAGGAAAAAGGAAGAACACAGAAUCUGGGUAUCAGCUAAAGUAGCAAGAGACACGACAUGAACAAGAAGAGAAUGGGGUUUUCAGCUAAAUAAUCAAUUUUGUGAAAAAAAGAACAGAGACUCCCAUGAUGCACCACAGCAGCUCAGCAAGAGGAGAGACCAAGGUGCAUAAUGGGAGAUGUAGUCUGGCCAGGGAAUCCAGGCCAGAAAGGAGAAUGGGAAGAUGAGGCACCUUAAAUAUAACUUCUGUGAGGCACCACA